rnacentral:rRNA from 1 species
GACGAACGCUGGCGGCGUGCUUAACACAUGCAAGUCGAACGGAAAGGCCCUGCUUUUGCGGGGUGCUCGAGUGGCGAACGGGUGAGUAAAACGUGAGUAACAUGUCCUUGACUUAGGGAUAACUUCAGGAAACUGGGGCUAAUACCGGAUAGGAGCUCCUGCAGCAUGGUGGGGGUUGGAAAGUUUCGGCGGUGGGGGAUGGACUCGCGGCUUAUGCGCUUGUUGGUGGGGUAGUGGUUUACAAAGGCUUUGACGGGUAGCCGGCCUGAGAGGGUGACCGGCCACAUUGGGACUGAGAUACGGACCAGACUCCUACGGGAGGCAGCAGUGGGGAGUAUGGCGCAGUGGGCGGAAGCCUGUUACAGCAACGCCGGGUGCGUGAUGACGGGCUUCGGGUUAUAAACCGCUUUGUCCUGUGACGAAGCGUGAGUGACGGUAAUGGGUAAAGAAGCACCGGCUAACUACGUG